rnacentral:misc_RNA from 1 species
AGUCGUAACAAGGUUUCCGUAGGUGAACCUGCGGAAGGAUCAUUAACAAAUCCAAUUUAUAUACAAAACCAUUUGUGAACUGACCUAUGUGCUUUUUGUGAGUUCUUUAUAUAUUUUUAUUAAUAUAUGAUGAACUCUCUUAAAUGUGCAUAGGUAGCUAUGUUGGGCGUAAGAGAGAGAGAGAGAGAGGCUUUAACUUGACUUGCUUUUUUUUUAAAGAAGCGGCCAAGUGAGUACUUUGUUCUUCCCUUUUCUUUUCCCACAUAGUAUUAUGAACUAUUUAUCCCAUGUCUAAAUGUGUUAACAUUAUUAAAUAUAAAAACAAAUAAUGUAAAAACAACUUUUAACAGUGGAUCUCUAGGCUCUU